UAAUAUGAAGAUCUUAAGAUAUUUCAUUUCAACAUCGGAUCACUAAAGUUUAUCUACUUCAUUUCUAAGAAAUAAAAUAUUUUUAUUUGCAUAAUUGAAAAUUUGUUCAAAAUUAAAAAACGAAUUGCUUAUUCAAGGUUCUAAACUUUCUUAUAAGCUUCUGUAAACAAUAGAAUAAAAAAAUAACUCAUGUUUAUAGCAGUAUUUAAUAAUACUUGGUAAUAAGUUCUAUAGAAACGGACUUAAUAACCAAUACACACUAGACAAUAAGGAUUUGAUAAUAUCUUAUGAUGUGUCAGACAACUCGGGGACAAAGAAGCAGCAAGCUGACAGUAGUACGAAUCACGCUUGCAUGUGCAUCAUUCGGGUAUGAUCGGUAGUGUCGAAAACAACCGAAGUGUUGCGCGAGACUGGGACCGCCAGCACUCAUUUACAUUGUGAGCAGGACAGAGAGAUCCAAAUAGUAAAAUAUUUUCGGCGAUUGGGCCCACUUUAUUCUAAGCAGUAUAUACACAAAGAUUUAAGAUUUUACUUCUGAGAAGUUAUUUCUCAAAAUAAUAAAGUAAUAGUAAGUUUUAACAACUGUAUGUAAUCUUCAUGUUGUUAUCGGAAAUGGAAAAAUACACUUCUUCCUCUGUAAAAUUUUUAUACGUAUCUAUUUAGUGUUGACGAUUAUGUACGAUUUAAAAUGGAAAACAUUCAUAUUAUACAUAUUUAAAAGAGGAGUGACUUAUAAUUUAACGAAACAUUCGACCAAACAAAAUAUUUAUUGUAAACAAAAAUUUUUCAAUUAACAUCAAAUUUUAGAUUCAACUAGAUUAAUCCAUUAAAAUCGUUAAAGUAUUUUUCUUUUUAAAUUCAUAUUAUAAUUUGCAUCAUCAAUAGCACGGAUAUUAAACAAUCGGUCACUUUCAUCUUCCUCUAUUAACGUAAUCUCGUCAGAGAUUUAGUUUUUACAUGGGAAAGUUUACAAUUAACUGUGAGAUUCCAUAAAAUAAAGGAGUUUACAAAGUUUACGUUCGUUUUUCAUUUGGUUUCGUCUAUUGGCAACGAAACGGAACGUGGGUGCUUAUCGCACACUGUUGGGAUUUGAGAAAUACACUUUCGAAGAAAAAGAGAGCAGGUCGUUUCACACGACCGACGGCAGUGAGUAUAACACCCACGCACGAUUCACGCUCGUAGUAGAGAACGUUAGUAUACUAUUUUAUUGGCGCAUCGUGAACAUAACCUAUUCAUGAUCAAAUCACAUAUCAGUAUAUUGUAAAAUCUAAAUACUUUUCUCUAAGUCUUAUUUACACCACGUGAACGUAAUUUUGGAAAUAUGAGCUUUGUUAUAUGAAAAAAAAACGAAUAACGAUAUUAAAGAGGGAGAAAAGGAGAAAAGAUAAAAAGAGAAAAACAAAGAGAGAAAAAGAAAUGAAAAUCGUGAUUCGAACGGAUUUAGAGAAAGGACGACGUGCGUGGAAACGACCGUAGGAAUCAUCCGAAACACGAAUGCAUGUAAACUCUUGAUUCCAGAGGUGAGAGAGAUCGAGGAGCGAAUCAACAACGGAGAAGAUAUACGCAGCAAUGAAGAUGGAAAACGAAGUGAUUACGGACACUAGAAAUUCCUACCUACCAGCAUCCCAAUGUCAUAACGAACGACGACGACUACGACAAUAACGAAUUGAAUUCGAACGAGACAUGGCUUCGAGAUAGAUGAAUGUGUCCUAUGUGCAUGCGUGCCUGCGUUUGUGUGUAUGUGUGUGUGAGUGAGAGAAAGAGAGAAAGAGAGAGAGAGAGAGAGAGAGAGAGAGAGAGAGAGAGAGAGAGAGGAAACGUUUUUGACGCUAAGAAAAAGUAGAAGAGACGACUCGUAGUUGACCGAUGUGCCGAAAGGAUUAAGAGGGGA